GCUGGGCACGGUGGCGCGUGCCUGUAAUCCCAGCUACUCGGGAGGCUGAGGCAGGAGGAUUGCCUGAACCCAGGAGGCGGAGGUUGCGGUGAGCCGAGGUCACGCCACUGCACUCCAGCCUGGGUAACAAGAGCGAGACUCUGUCUCAA
ensembl:misc_RNA Metazoa_SRP Metazoan signal recognition particle RNA